AGCAGCCGCGGUAAUUCCAGCUCCAAUAGCGUAUAUUAAAGUUGUUGCAGUUAAAAAGCUCGUAGUUGAAUUUCGGGGUUAGUAGGUUGGUCAUGCCUCUGGUAUGUACUGGUCUCACUGAUUCCUCCUUCCUGAUGAACCUUAAUGACAUUAAUUUGGUGUUUUGGGGAAUUUGGACUGUUACUUUGAAAAAAUUAGAGUGUUUAAAGCAAGCUAACGCUUGAAUACAUUAGCAUGGAAUAAUGAAAUAGGACGUUCGAUCCUAUUUUGUUGGUUUCUAGGAUUGACGUAAUGAUUAAUAGGGAUAGUUGGGGGCAUUAGUAUUCAAUUGUCAGAGGUGAAAUUCUUGGAUUUAUUGAAGACUAACUACUGCGAAAGCAUUUGCCAAGGAUGUUUUCAUUAAUCAAGAACGAAAGUUAGGGGAUCGAAGACGAUCAGAUACCGUCGUAGUCUUAACCAUAAACUAUGCCGACUAGGGAUCGGAUGAUGUUAAUUUUUUAAUGACUCAUUCGGCGCCUUA
rnacentral:misc_RNA from 1 species